rnacentral:rRNA from 1 species
CCCGCCCGAGGAUGGGCCGGCGGCCCAUCAGGUAGUUGGCGGGGUAAUGGCCCGCCAAGCCGAAGACGGGUAGGGGCCGUGAGAGCGGGAGCCCCCAGAUCGGCACUGAGACAAGGGCCGAGGCCCUACGGGGCGCACCAGGGGCGAAACCUCCGCAAUGCGGGAAACCGUGACGGGGGGAC